rfam:Phycomyces blakesleeanus NRRL 1555(-) unplaced genomic scaffold PHYBLscaffold_3, whole genome shotgun sequence.
GCCCGGCUAGCUCAAUCGGUAGAGCGUGAGACUCUUAAUCUCAAGGUUGGGGGUUCGACCCCCCCGUUGGGCU